UUUUCUCUUGUUUUAGUAUUUGUGCCCGUCGUGCUUGUCCACAAGGAAGGAAGGAAAAACAAUGUAGAGAGAGGGUUAAUGACCUGAGGAGAGAAUACCCUUUCCAAAUGGGGAAAGAUACCUUUUCCUCUGCUUUCCUUUUGACCAGAGAUGGAGCGAUUGGUUGAGAAACAGAAAAAUAAGUCAUGUGUGAACCCUCAUCUUGAAUGGCGUCCGGCAGGGGGUGGCGGUCUCAGCCACAGCACCUCUGUUUUCUGAUGGGCAGGGCUACUUGUUGAGAGGAGCUAACUUGCUCAAUGUUAAGAAAGGGCUGGGUCCUACCGGCUUGGCUCAGUGGAUAGAG